rnacentral:rRNA from 1 species
GUACACGCCCUAAACGAUGUCAACUAGUUGUCGGGUCUUAAUUGACUUGGUAACGCAGCUAACGCGUGAAGUUGACCGCCUGGGGAGUACGGCCGCAAGGUUAAAACUCAAAGGAAUUGACGGGGACCCGCACAAGCGGUGGAUGAUGUGGAUUAAUUCGAUGCAACGCGAAAAACCUUACCUACGUUUGACAUGCCAGGAAGGCCGGAGAGAUCUGGUUGUGCCCGAAAGGGAACCUGGACACAGGUGCUGCAUGGCUGUCGU